CAGUGAGGCGGAAGCCAAUUCCGUACAGACUAAACUUAUGCUUGAAAACGAGAAAUGCUGUGGGUUGGUGGCAAAAAAGACAUUAAUGGAAAGUUUGUAUUUAAAAUUGGCAAUACUGGAUUUGUAUUGGAUCAGGUACCAUUUGGAGUAAAUGCGGCAACAAAUGCAGGACUACAGACUUUUAUUAAUACUGAUGGUGAAUGUUUAGUCCUUUUCAUGUUACAACAGUUGCAACUAAUACACUUUUUUGCAGUAAAUGCGGCAACAAAUGCAGGACUACAGACUUUUAUUAAUACUGAUAGUGAAUGUUUAGGAAUGAGUCCUAUCUUUGUUGGGUCUCUGGUUUGGUACUGGAGACCAAGAACUUGUUCUGUUACUGCGUCAUUCGUUUGCGAAUAUCCAAGAAAGAUUUGUCCUUAGAUAUAAUGUACCCUGCCACCGAAGCGCUUCACAAAAAGACGAUUGUUUGGUUCAUUAAAAUCUUUAAACUGA